ACACUGAAGUUGAGAGUUGGAUGAAGACAAACCGACUGAUCAUGACAACUCCAGCAGAUGGUCAGCUUGUUUUCCUCCAACAUCUCAUCUUCAGCAG
rnacentral:pre_miRNA from 1 species